rnacentral:rRNA from 1 species
UUAAGGUCCUCUGGAUUGUAAACUUCUUUUAUCUGGGGCGAAAAAAGGUCUUUCUAGAUCACUUGACGGUACCAUAUGAAUAAGCACCGGCUAACUCCGUGCCAGCAGCCGCGGUAAUACGGAGGGUGCAAGCGUUAUCCGGAUUCACUGGGUUUAAAGGGUGCGUAGGCGGGCAGGUAAGUCAGUGGUGAAAUCCUGGAGCUCAACUCCAGAACUGCCAUUGAUACUAUCUGUCUUGAAUAUUGUGGAGGUAAGCGGAAUAUGUCAUGUAGCGGUGAAAUGCUUAGAUAUGACAUAGAACACCUAUUGCGAAGGCAGCUUACUACGCAUAUAUUGACGC